UAAUGACAAGCAAAGAGAAAAAGUAUUUAUAGUUUUGAAUUUAAGAGAGUUUGCGGUGGUGAGAGCAAAUAUUCUACUAUAAAGAAGUCCGUCUCUUAUAGAUGCAUUCAACGAAAUAAGUUGAAUCGGCAGCAGCCGUUAUCUGCAUUACAAGGGCAGCAGUCUAGCUGAACUUGGGUGGUACCGCGAAAUUCAAGUCAUUUCGUCCCAAGA
rfam:Enterococcus termitis strain LMG 8895 27, whole genome shotgun sequence.